AACCCGACUCCACGAAGUUGGAUUCGCUAGUAAUCGCGCAUCAGCCAUGGCGCGGUGAAUACGUUCCCGGGCCUUGUACACACCGCCCGUCAAGCCAUGGGAGCCGGGGGCGCCUGAAGUCCGGGACCGCGAGGACCGGCCUAGGGCGAAACUGGUAACUGGGGCUAAGUCGUAACAAGGUAUC
rnacentral:rRNA from 1 species